UACAGAGGGGGCAAGCGUUAUUCGGAAUUAUUGGGCGUAAAGGGCGCGUAGGCGGCUUUGCAAGUGACGGGUGAAAUCCCUCGGCUUAACCGAGGAACUGCCUGUCAGACUGCAUGGCUUGAGACCGGGAGAGGUGAGUGGAAUUCCCAGUGUAGCGGUGAAAUGCGUAGAUAUUGGGAGGAACACCAGUGGCGAAGGCGGCUCACUGGACCGGUACUGACGCUGAGGCGCGAAAAGCGUGGGUAGCAAACAGG
rnacentral:rRNA from 1 species